CCUACGGGCGGCAGCAGUGAGGAAUAUUGGUCAAUGGGCGUAAGCCUGAACCAGCCAAGUCGCGUGAGGGAUGAAGGUUCUAUGGAUCGUAAACCUCUUUUAUAAGGGAAUAAAGUGCGGGACGUGUCCCGUUUUGUAUGUACCUUAUGAAUAAGGAUCGGCUAACUCCGUGCCAGCAGCCGCGGUAAUACGGAGGAUCCGAGCGUUAUCCGGAUUUAUUGGGUUUAAAGGGUGCGUAGGCGGCCUUUAAGUCAGCGGUGAAAGUUUGUGGCGCAACCAUAGAAUUGCCGUUGAAACUGGGAGGCUUGAGUAUGUUUGAGGCAGGCGGAAUGCGUGGUGUAGCGGUGAAAUGCUUAGAUAUCACGCAGAACCCCGAUUGCGAAGGCAGCCUGCCAAGCCAUGACUGACGCUGAUGCACGAAAGCGUGGGGAUCAAACAGGAUUAGAUACCCCAGUAGUC
rnacentral:rRNA from 1 species